GCUGGAGCUGAGGAGAUCUCUGGGAGGCCCUUGGGGUUUAAGGGUGGGCUACCAGGGGAGGGGCUUCGAGGCUGCCCCGGACUGAAGGAAACGCGUUCUGGGAGCUUGGCGUCGUGUUUGUUGCUGAAAAAUCCCUGAGAGAGUACAAGCAGGGGGAACAGCAGGCAGAGGAAGAGGGAAAAGCAGGCUCCUGCUGAACAAAGAGCCCGAUAUGGGACUCAAUCCCAGGACCCUGGGAUCAUGACCAGAGCCGAAGGCAAUGACUUAACCGACUGAGCCACCCAGGCUCCCCGAAGAAAAAGUUUAUUGACUUCUUGCCCUACCGUGGUGAUUUCUCCCUCCUCCACCUGGCUGGAACCAGGAAUGCACUGCUGAUCCAGUUUCAACCACAACUGAAUGAUAAAAGAGACAACCUGGAAGAAAUCUGGAUCCUUAAAGGACCACAAAAACCAAAGCAACCAUGCAACUCUUCACUACUUACCAUGUUAACUGUUACAUGACCAGGAAAUCAAUUCUUAUAUUCCUUAAAGCAGUACAUUUUGGGUUUAUUAUGGUCACUUAGCUUUACCAUCACUGAUAUACUUUUUAGUCCUGUCUCAUGCUUUAUAACAUCAUGUAUCUGCAGAUGCCUGCUCAACUCAGGCAUUUGUAGCAUGAAAGUAGCCACAGAUAAUAAGAAAAUGAAUGGACAAGAUGCACUGUAGGUGGCCAUGUUUCAGUAAAACUUCACAAAAACACGUACAGGCUGUAGUUUGCCAACCCCUACUCUACCAGGUCACCAUUUCCACAGAAUACAGUUAAGAGUUUGCUUGACAUUUGUGCAUUAUGAUACAGUAUUUUUGAAAAUAUUUAUUCACUAGCCUGGACCUCUUUCCCCAACUGAUUCACAUAUCCACUUGCUACUCAAAAUCUGCACUUGGAUGUCUAAUAAUUUACCCUGCCCCAGACAAAACUCUAGUUCUCCCAAAUGAACCUCCCCCAAAUUCUUCUCAUCUUGUUAAAUAGCAACCUCAUUUUCCCAGUUGCUCAAGCUUUGAACAACUGUCUCCUAGAUCACACCCUAUUAGAUCUCCAUGUCCUGUUGGCUUUAUCUUCAAAAUAUGGUUAGCAUCUGGCCAUUUCUCAUAAUCCUCACUCACGAGGACAACCAAAGUGUAAGCCACAUCAUGUCUUGACUGGAUUAUUUAAUAGGCUCCUCACUCUUCUUCCUACCUUUGCCUCUUUAUAACUCCUCUCAACACAGCAACAGCUCUGUUUAUUCUUGUCACAGUUAAAUCAUAUCAUUGUUCUACUUGAAAGCCUCCUUGUAUACUCACAAAAAUAUUUAGAAGAAUACACAGUUAAUAGUGGCUGCUUCUGGGGAACAGAAAUGGAGAAGUGAGGGCCAGGAUUGAGAAGACAUACCCAUUAUUUUACUUUUCUAUUAAGUAUUAUGUAUUGGAUUUUAAAGAGAAUAGUAUUAUUUCUUUUUAGAAGUAACAGAGAGGUGAAGUCAUAGGAAGUCAGGACAAAUCUCCAAGCAUGCUAUAUUGUUAAAAAGCAAGAGGGGGAGAAAUGUUGUGCUAUGAUAGUUGGAGGUAGGAAGAGAAUAAGAAGUAAGGAUAAGGGGGUAAAUAAAAUUCAACUCUGAGAUAUAUAACAAUGGAAGUGGGGAGAAAUGAUAGAAAGUUAAAUUUUAUUUAAAAAAAAAUUUUUUUGAG